rnacentral:rRNA from 1 species
GACGAACGCUGGCGGUGUGCUUAACAUAUGCAAGUCGAACGGUAAGGCCCUUUCGGGGGUACACGAGUGGCGAACGGGUGAGUAACACGUGAGUAACCUGCCCUCAUCUCUGGGAUAACAGUCGGAAACGGUUGCUAAUACUGGAUAUGAGCUUGCAAGGCAUCUUGUGGGUUGGAAAGAUUUUUUUGGUUGGGGAUGGACUCGCGGCCUAUCAGCUUGUUGGUGAGGUAGUGGCUCACCAAGGCUUCGACGGGUAGCCGGCCUGAGAGGGCGACCGGCCACAUUGGGACUGAGAUACGGCCCAAACUCCUACGGGAGGCAGCAGUGGGGAAUAUUGCACAAUGGACGGAAGUCUGAUGCAGCAACGCCGCGUGCGGGAUGACGGCCUUCGGGUUGUAAACCGCUUUCAAUUGUGACGAAGCUUUUUGUGACGGUAGCAGUAGAAGAAGCACCGGCUAACUACGUG